rnacentral:rRNA from 1 species
GACGAACGCUGGCGGCGUGCUUAACACAUGCAAGUCUACGAGAACGAGAUAGCAAUAUCUUUAGUAAAGUGGCGCACGGGUGCGUAACACGUAAACAAUCUACCUUUGGGUCUGGAAUAACUUCGAGAAAUCGAGGCUAAUACCGGAUAAUGCAGCGGCACCGCAUGGUGAUGUUGUUAAAGUUUGAGUAAUGCCUAUAGAUGAGCUUGCGUCUGAUUAGCUAGUUGGUAGGGUAAAGGCCUACCAAGGCAACGAUCAGUAGCUGGUCUGAGAGGAUGAUCAGCCACACUGGAACUGAGACACGGUCCAGACUCCUACGGGAGGCAGCAGUGAGGAAUAUUGGGCAAUGUCCGCAAGGGUGACCCAGCAACGCCGCGUGGAGGAUGAAGGCCGUAAGGUUGUAAACUCCUGUUAGAGGAGAAGAAUAGUGCCGAUUGGAUCGGUAUUUGACUGUACCCUCAGAGAAAGCCCCGGCUAACUACGUGCCAGCCGCCGCAGUAAUAC